UCCGGUUUGUCACCGGCAGUCCCAUUAGAGUGCCCAACUGAAUGUGGCAACUAAUGGCAAGGGUUGCGCUCGUUGCGGGACUUAACCCAACAUCUCACGACACGAGCUGACGACAGCCAUGCAGCACCUGUGUUACGGCUCCCUUUCGGGCACCCCUCCAUCUCUGGAGGGUUCCGUACAUGUCAAGGGUAGGUAAGGUGGGGAUGACGUCUGAGAGUACGUCC
rnacentral:misc_RNA from 1 species